UAACGAGAAGGGGGGUGCGAUUCCCCCCCGCCGCAAGACCAAGGUUUCCCGGGCUAUGCCAAUCAGCCCGGGGUCAGUCGGGUCCUAAGCCUAAGCCGAGAGGCGACGGCGAUGGCAUGACGGUCAACAUUCCGUCACUGCCGCGUGGGGCGACGCGGGGAAGGAGAGGUGGCACGGCCGCGGGGCGACGGAAGCCCCCGUUGAAGGGUGUACCUGUUGAGAUGCCCAGGCAAGUCCGGGCGUUGAGGGGAACCUGACAGUACGCCCGGCCCUCCGGGGCCGGGCGAUAGCGCCGGUAAUCUUGCUCCCGAGAAAAUCCGCUAAGCUUCACCCGCGCGGCACCCGUACCUCAAACGGACACACGUGGUCGGGUAGAGCAUACUGAGGCGUUGAGAGACUCAUGGCCAAGGAACUAGGCAAACUGGCCCCGUAACUUAGGGAUAAGGGGUCCUCCUUUUUGGGAGGCGCAGAGAAUAGGUCCAGGCAACUGUUUAACAAAAACACAGGGCUGUGCGAACUCGUGAGAUGAUGUAUACAGCCUGACACCUGCCCGGUGCCGGAAGGUUAAGAGGAGGGGUCACCCUUUCGGGGGGAAGCCCUGAGUUGAAGCCCCGGUAAACGGCGGCCGUAACUAUAACGGUCCUAAGGUAGCGAAAUUCCUUGUCGGGUAAGUUCCGACCUGCACGAAUGGUGUAAUGAUCCGGACGCUGUCUCAACCGUGAGCUCAGUGAAAUUGUAGUAUCGGUGAAGAUGCCGAUUACCCGCGAUGGGACGAAAAGACCCCGUGAACCUUUACUACAGCUUAGCGUUGGGCUUGGUCAUCCGACGUGUAGGAUAGGCCGGAGGCUAUGAAGGGGGCGCGCCAGCGUCCGUGGAGCCGCCGUUGAAAUACGGCCCUUUGGCUGUCCGGGCUCUAACGCGCUAGUGUUGCGCGGACACCGCUUGGCGGGUAGUUUGACUGGGGUGGUCGCCUCCAAAAGCGUAACGGAGGCUUCCAAAGGUGCCCUCGGGCCGAUUGGUAACCGGCCUUUGGAGUGCAAUGGCAUAAGGGCGCUUGACUGGGAGGGAGACAUCCCGAGCAGGCAGGAAACUGGGGCAUAGUGAUCCGGCGGACGUGCGUGGAAACUCCGUCGCUCAAAGGAUAAAAGGUACUCCGGGGAUAACAGGCUGAUCCCCCCCAAGAGCUCAUAUCGACGGGGUGGUUUGGCACCUCGAUGUCGGCUC
rnacentral:rRNA from 1 species